UACAGAGGUCCCAAGCGUUUGUUCGGAUUCAUUGGGCGUAAAGGGUGCGUAGGCGGCGCGGUAAGUCGGGUGUGAAAUCUCGGGGCUUAACUCCGAAACUGCAUUCGAUACUGCCGUGCUUGAGGACUGGAGAGGAGACUGGAAUUUACGGUGUAGCGGUGAAAUGCGUAGAUAUCGUAAGGAAGACCAGUGGCGAAGGCGGGUCUCUGGACAGUUCCUGACACUGAGGCACGAAGGCCAGGGGAGCAAACGGG
rnacentral:rRNA from 1 species